UAUUUAUAAAGAAUAGGGAAGAGAGCAGACUCGUUGAACCUAUUGCAACCUAGCCUCUUGAUGGGAAAAGGUGCUAAAUUCUGCCUAAAUGAUUAGGGAAUAUAAAUA
rnacentral:ncRNA from 2 species